ACCAACCCCCUCACCUCUCUCACUCUCUCCCCAAGAACAAAGCACGGCCGCCGCUGGGCAUCUCCGGCGACACGGCGGAAACCUACAGAUUCCCCUCGACUCCCUCUACCCUUUCCCCCUAUUUAUUUGACCCGCCGCCGCCAAAAUCAUCGCCACCAUCAAAUCCUUGCGCCGCGUGAUUCGGGUCCGGUGGGCUCGCCACCGGUCGCCUCGGCGAUGGCGUCUCCCUGCCUACAUCCUACCCCAGCGCAGCUACACGCACUAGGUGUGCAGCCACGGCCGUCGGGCAGUGCGGCUUUACCGGCGCGGCUCCGGCGUGGCCGCUGCUACCGGUGUGGACCGGCCACACCCUGCUGCUACUACCGCAGGGUACUAGUGUCCAGGUGAUUCGUUGCAUAUCCUAAUGUAAGCAGGUGAAGGUACAUUAAGCAUCAAGCAAACAGAGCUGCAAAAAUAAGUUACUUGAAUACUACCUAAUGGCAACUCAGCAUGCAACGAAAGAAGAACAAUGGAGAUGUGAAAAGUUGAUGGGAGAAAGGUGGGCUGCUCCAGGGAAUGAUGUGCGUGUGUGUGUGUGGUGUGAAAUGCAGAGUGAAGGGAUGGCCUCCUAUCUAUAGCUGGGUACAUAGCUAGGUCGGUUUGGGAGGAGGAGGAGGUGGCCGGCAUGCAUGGCUCUAUGCGCAUGCAAGUCUCCACUUGUAUUCUUGCAAGCUGUAUUAUGGACAAGUGUACAAUGAUUGGUUGUUUAUUAGUUGGCAUUUUCUUCA